AAAAAGAAAAUACUGUUUCCGUAGACAGUAGGUGCCGAAAGGUUUAAAGUGAUCGCCUACCUAGGAUAUACUAGAUAUGUGAUUAUUUGGUCUUCCUGUGUCUAUGGGAAGACCUUUCUUAAUAUAUAU
rfam:Clostridium celatum DSM 1785 genomic scaffold Scfld53, whole genome shotgun sequence.